GGAGGAUGAGCGUGCCGGUUUCGCUUGUUCCCGGUAGUCGUCAGCGUUCGGCUCCGUUGGUGAAAAUUCUCCGCUCCCCUAGUUGGAGACCUGGGCAGAGUGGUGGCGGCCGGACGGCCCUAGGAAAAAGAAAGAAAGCAGCUUCCUUCCCCACGAAGAUGGGACGUUUCAAAUGUUUCAUUAGUCCCCAGCUUUCUCCGCGUUUCCUGCUAACACAAUGAAAGGGAAUCAGCAUGGUGGUGGCGCACGCCUGUAAUCCCAGCACUCGGGAGGCAGAGGCAGGCGGAUCUCUUGAGUUUGGGGCCAGCCUGGUCUACAAAGAGAGUUCUGGGACAGACAGGGCUACGUAUACAAACCAUGUAUCAAAAAAUGAGACGAUUCUAGAACAUGUCCAGGAACCCCUGUCUUCACAAGUAUGAAGCUGCCCUGUUGAACAUCUGCCGAGAAUGCUAAAUAUGGUGGCUCAUGCCUUUUCUCAGGAUUCAGAGGCGGGGAUCACUGUGAAGGCAGGCUUGGUCUGCGAGUGCCAGAGCUGCAAUAGAGACCCUGUCUCAAAAAAAAAAAAAAAAAAAAAAAA